rnacentral:rRNA from 1 species
GGAGCGUCGUUUGCGACGCCCAACACACAAAACAAGCGGUGAGUGCUUUGGGGUGGGGUGACUGCGUACCUUUUGUAUAAUGGGUCAGCGACUUAUAUUCUGUAGCAAGGUUAACCGUAUAGGGGAGCCGAAGGGAAACCGAGUCUUAACUGGGCGUUAAGUUGCAGGGUAUAGACCCGAAACCCGGUGAUCUAGCCAUGGGCAGGUUGAAGGUUGGGUAACACUAACUGGAGGACCGAACCGACUAAUGUUGAAAAAUUAGCGGAUGACUUGUGGCUGGGGGUGAAAGGCCAAUCAAACCGGGAGAUAGCUGGUUCUCCCCGAAAGCUAUUUAGGUAGCGCCUCGUGAACUCAUCUUCGGGGGUAGAGCACUGUUUCGGCUAGGGGGUCAUCCCGACUUACCAACCCGAUGCAAACUGCGAAUACCGAAGAAUGUUAUCACGGGAGACACACGGCGGGUGCUAACGUCCGUCGUGAAGAGGGAAACAACCCAGACCGCCAGCUAAGGUCCCAAAGUCACAGUUAAGUGGGAAACGAUGUGGGAAGGCUCAGACAGCCAGGAUGUUGGCUUAGAAGCAGCCAUCAUUUAAAGAAAGCGUAAUAGCUCACUGGUCGAGUCGGCCUGCGCGGAAGAUGUAACGGGGCUAAACUGUGCACCGAAGCUGCGGCAGCGACGCUUAUGCGUUGUUGGGUAGGGGAGCGUUCUGUAAGCCUGCGAAGGUGUCCUGUGAGGGAUGCUGGAGGUAUCAGAAGUGCGAAUGCUGACAUAAGUAACGAUAA